AGGUAGCCGUAAGAUUGCUCUCGGGUGACGAGUGGCGGACGGGUGAGUAAUGUCUGGGAAACUGCCGGAUAACUACUGGAAACGGUAUGCUAAUACCGCAUAACGUCGCAAGACCAAAGAGGGGGACCUUCGGGCCUCUUGCCAUCAGAUGUGCCCAGAUGGGAUUAGCUAGUAGGUGGGGUAACGGCUCACCUAGGCGACGAUCCCUAGCUGGUCUGAGAGGAUGACCAGCCACACUGGAACUGAGACACAGGUCCAGACUCCUACGGGGCAGGCAGCAGUGGGGAAUAUUGCACAAUGGGCGCAAGCCUGAUGCAGCCAUGCCGCGUGUAUGAAGAAGGCCUUCGGGUUGUAAAGUACUUAGUCAGCGGGGAGGAAGGCGAUAAGGUUAAUAACCUUGUCGAUUGACGUUAGCCCGCAGAAGAAGCACCGGCUAACUCCGUGCCAGCAGCCGCGGUAAUACGGAGGGUGCAAGCGUUAAUCGGAAUUCACUGGGCGUAAAGCGCACGCAUUGGCGGUCUCGUCAAGUCGGAUGUGAAAUCCCCGGGCUCAACCUGGGAACUGCAUUCGAAACUGGCAGGCUGGAGUCUUGUAGAGGGGGGUAGAAUUACCAGGUGUAGCGGUGAAAUGCGUAGAGAUCUGGAGGAAUACCGGUGGCGAAGGCGGCCCCCUGGACAAAGACUGACGCUCAGGUGCGAAAAGCGUGGGGAGCAAAGCCAGGGAUUAGAUACCCUGGUAGUCCACGCUGUAAACGAUGUCGACUUGGCAGGUUGUUCCCUUGAGGAGUGCCGGAGCUAACGCGUUUAAGUCAACCGCCUGGGGGAGUACGGCCCGCAAGGUUAAAAACUCCAAAUGAAAUUGGCACGGGGGGCCCGCUCACAAGCCGUGGGAGCCAUGUGGGUUUUAAUUUCGAUGCCACCGC
rnacentral:rRNA from 1 species